UAUAAUAGCUGGUUUACAUUUAGUAGGUAUGAGGAACCAAUAACACCUCAUUCUUGCCGUCCAAUCCAUGUAAGGGAAAUCUCAACGGAUACAACUAAGUGCUUGCAAAAUAUCUUAGCUGUCAAAAGUAGGAUACAACCAAGUGCUUGCAACAUAUCUUAGCUAUCAAAAGCAGGUAUUUUAUCUGUUCAUCCUUGUGAGCUUCCAUGCCUUUCUUUAUUAGAUGCAACAAAAGAAUAACAACUAUGCUUACCUU